rnacentral:rRNA from 1 species
GAUGAACGCUGGCGGCGUGCCUAAUACAUGCCAGUCGAGCGAACAGACGAGGAGCUUGCUCCUCUGACGUUAGCGGCGGACGGGUGAGUAACACGUGGAUAACCUACCUAUAAGACUGGGAUAACUUCGGGAAACCGGAGCUAAUACUGGAUAAUAUAUUGAACCGCAUGGUUCAAUAGUGAAAGACGGUUUUGCUGUCACUUAUAGAUGGAUCCGCGCCGCAUUAGCUAGUUGGUAAGGUAACGGCUUACCAAGGCAACGAUGCGUAGCCGACCUGAGAGGGUGAUCGGCCACACUGGAACUGAGACACGGUCCAGACUCCUACGGGAGGCAGCAGUAGGGAAUCUUCCGCAAUGGGCGAAAGCCUGACGGAGCAACGCCGCGUGAGUGAUGAAGGUCUUCGGAUCGUAAAACUCUGUUAUUAGGGAAGAACAAAUGUGUAAGUAACUAUGCACGUCUUGACGGUACCUAAUCAGAAAGCCACGGCUAACUACGUG